AGGCUUACGGUGGAUACCUAUGCACCCAGAGAUGGGGAAAGGCAUAGUAAUCAAUGAAAUACUUUGGCCAGUUAAAAAUAAGCAUAAAUCUGGAGAUUCCCGAAUAGGGAAACCUUUUGCACUACUGCAGAAUCCAUGGGAAGGCAAGAGACAACCUAGCAAACUGAAACAUCUUAGUAGCCAGAGAAAAAGAAAGCAAAAAUGAUUCCCGUGGCAGCGACGAGCAAAAUGGGAGUAGCCUAAACCGUGAAAAUAGGGUUGUGAGAGAGCAAUACAAGUGUCGUGCUACUAGGAGAAGCAACCUGAAUGCUGCACCGUAGAUGGCAAAAGACCAGUAGCCAAAAUCAUCACUUUCUUACACUAUAACGCGAGUAGCAUGGGGCACGUGGAAUCCUGUGAGAAUCAGCAAGGACCACCUUGCAAGGCUAAAUACUCCUGGGUGACCAAUAGCGAAGUAGUACCAUAAGGGAAGGGUGAAAAGAAUCCCCAUCGUGGAGUAAAAUAGAACAUAAAACCAUAAGCUCCCAAGUAGUGAGAGGAUCCAGGACUCUGACGGUGUGCCUGUUGAAGAAUGAGUCGGUGACUCAUAGGCAGUAGCUUGGUUAAGGGAACCUACCAGAGCCAUAGAAAAAGCGAGUCUUCAUAGGGCAAUUACCACUGCUUAUGGACCCGAACCUGGGAGAUCUAUCCAUGACCAGGAUGAAGCUUGGGUGAAACUAAGUAGAGGUCCAGACCUACUAAUGUUAAAGAAUCAGCGGAUGAGUUAUGGUUAGGGGUGAAAUAUCACUCGAACCCAGAGCUAGCUGGUUCUCCCCAAAAUGUGUUGAGGCACAGCAGUUGACUGGAUAUCAUAUGGUAAAGAACUAUUUUAGUGCGGGCUGCAAAAGUGGUACCAAAUUGCGGCAAACUCUAAAUACUAGGUAUGGCCUUAAAAAAGAUGGGUCAAAGUCGGCUAAUGAGAUGAUGGUGGAUAAGCUUCAUCGUCUAGAGGGAAACAACCUGAAUCACCAGCUAAGGACCCUAAAUGACUGCUCAGUGAUAAAGGAGGUAGGGGUGAGAGAUAGAAAGGAGGUUUGCCUAGAAUCAGCCAUUCUUGAAAGAGUGCGUAAUAGCUCACCAAUCGAGCGCUCUUGCGCCGAAGAUGAAUGGGGCUAAGCGAUCUGCCGAAGCUGUGGGGUAUAAAAAUACAUUAGUAGGGGAGAAUUCCAUCUUAGAGGCAAGCCUUCGUGUGAGAGGUGGUAGAUGAAGCGGAAGCGAGAAAAUCGACUUGAGUAACGCAAACAUUAGUGAGAAUCCAAUGCCUCGAAAACCUAAGGGUUCCUCUACAAGGUUGGUCCACGGAGGGUGAGUUAGGGCCUAAGAUCAGGCCGAAAGGCAUAGUCGAUGGACAAUAGGUGAAUAUUCCUGUACUACCCCUUAUUGGUCCUGAGGGACGGAGGAGGCUAGGUUAGCUGAAAGAUGUUCAUCAGUUCAAGAACGUAAAGUGUCCCUACCCUUUUUUCAGCGUAACAAGGGGUAGAAAAAAUACCUCGAGCCAAUGUUCGAAUAACAGGCACUACAACGUUGAAGUAACCCAUGUCAUCAUCCCAGGAAAAGAUCGAAUAACUUUCAGCAAGAGGGUACCUGUACCCGAAACCAACACAGAUAGGUAGGUAGGUAGAGAAUACCUAGGGGCGCGAUACAAAUCUCUCUAAGGAACUCAGCAAAAUAGCCCCAUAACUUCGGAAAAAGGGGUGACCCUUCACAUCACAAAGGGGGUCAUAGUGACCAGGCCUGGGCGACAGUUUACCAAAAACACAGGUCUCCGCAAAGUCGUUGACCAUGUAUAGGGGCUGACGCCUGCCUAGUACCAAAAGGUCAAGGAAGUUGGUGACCUGAUUGCAGGGGAGCCGACGACCGAAGCCCUGAUGAACGGCGGUCGUAACUAUAACGAUCCUAAGGUAGAGAAACUCCUUGUUGGGUAAGUUCUGACCCGCACGAAAGGCAUAAUGAUCUGGGCACUGCCUCGAAGAGAGGCUCAGUGAAAUAG
rfam:Capsicum annuum cultivar Zunla-1 chromosome 8, whole genome shotgun sequence